UACAGAGAGUGCAAACGUUGUUCGGAAUUACUGGGCUUAAAGCGCACGUAGGCGGCGUCGUAAGUGUCAGGUGAAAUCCCACGGCUCACCCGUGGAACUGCCUGGCAUACUGCGAUGCUUGAGUGUGGUAGGGGAGAGCGGAACUCUUGGUGGAGCGGUGAAAUGCGUAGAUAUCAAGAGGAACACCGGUGGCGAAGGCGGCUCUCUGGUCCAUAACUGACGCUGAGGUGCGAAAGCUAGGGGAGCAAACGGGAUUAGAUACCCCGGUAGUCCUAGCCGUAAACGAUGGGCACUAGCUUGGGGUCUCCCUGUGGGAUCCCAGGUGAAGUAAAAAUGAUAAGUGCCCCGCCUGGGGAGUAUGGUCGCAAGGCUG
rnacentral:rRNA from 1 species